AUCCAAUGAACUAAAGCGGACGGUGGAGACCUAGGCACUCAGGGCCGAAGAAGGGCGUAGUAACCGACGAAACGCUCCGGGGAGCUGGAAACGAGCUUUGAUCCGGAGAUUCCCGAAUAGGGCAACCUUCUAGACUUCUUUUUUCAAUUCAUAUAAAAGAAGAGGGAACCCGGUGAACUGAAACAUCUCAAUAGCCGGAGGAAAAGAAAGCAAACGCGAUUCCCUUAGUAGCGGCGAGCGAAACGGGAACAGCCUAAACCAAUUUUUUGGUACUCAAUAGAGUCCUGAAAUUGGUGUUGUGGGAAAAUUAAGACGAAGCAGCUGAAUCCUGCACCAUAGAUGGUGAAAGUCCAGUAGCCUUAAAUAGAAAAUUUUGAUCAGUGUCUAAUCCCGAGUAGCAUGGGACACGUGGAAUCCCGUGUGAAUCAGCGAGGACCACCUCGUAAGGCUAAAUACUCUUGAGUGACCGAUAGCGCAAAGUACCGUGAGGGAAUGGGUAAAAGAACCCCUGCAGGGGAGUGAAAAAGAACAUGAAACCGUCCGCUGACAAGCAGUGGGAGGUCGAACACUUCUGAAAGGAGGGAGACUGACCGCGUGCCUGUUGAAGAAUGAGCCGGCGACUUAUAGGAAGUGGCGUGGUUAAGGAAUGACAUCCGGAGCCAGAGCGAAAGCAAGUCUGAAGAGGGCAUUUGUCACUUCUUAUGGACCCGAACCCAGGUGAUCUAACCGUGACCAGGAUGAAGCUUGGGUAAAACCAAGUGGAAGGCCGGACCGACCGAUGUUGAAAAAUCGGCGGAUGAGUUGCGGUUAGCAGGAGAAAUUCCAAUCGAACUUGGAGCUAGCUGGAUCUCCCCGAAAUGUGUUGAGGCACAGCGGUAACGAUGGGCUACCUUUGGGUAAAGCGACUGUUUUGGUGCGGGCUGCGAAAGCGGUACCAAGUCAUGGCAAACUCAGAAUCAAAGGUAAGGCUUUCCGUGAACCAGUGAGAAUGUCGGAGAUAAGUUUGAUAUUCAAGAGGGAAACAGCCCAGAUCACCAGCUAAGGCCCCUGAAUGGCCGCUAAGUGGAAAAGGAUGUGGGGAUGCUCAAACAACCAGGAGGUUUGCUUAGAAGCAGCAACCCUUGAAAGAGUGCGUAACAGCUCACUGGUACAAGCGUUCUUGCGCCGAUAAUGACCGGGACUAAGCGGCCUGCCGAAGCUGUGAGAUAUAAUUUGAUAUCGGUAGGGGAGCGUUCCGUUAUCGGGUGAAGCCAUGACGAAAGUCAUUGUGGACGAAACGGAAGUGAGAAUGUCGGCUUGAGUAACGAAAACAUUGGUGAGAAUCCAAUGCCCCGAAAACCUAAGGGUUCCUUCACUAGGCUCGUCCAUGAAGGGUUAGUCAGGUCCUAAGAUUAGGCCGAAAGGCGUCGUCGAUGGAAAUCAGGUUAAUAUUCCUGAACUGAUUGAAGUUUAAGGAUCCCGAGGGACGAAGAAGGCUAAGCUGGAACUGUUUAUGGAUUGCAGUGGAAACGUCCGAGGUUAUGAGAAAGAGAAUGAAAACUCUUUUGAGCUGAGGCGUGAUCCCGUUAGGAAUUGAAUCUUUGAUUCGAUUCCUCGUCAGCGAUGUCACACUUCCAAGAAAAGCUCGUUCGAUUCAUACUUCAACACCUGUACCAGAAACCGACACAGGUAGGUGGGUAGAGAAUACCUAGGGGCGCGAGAGAACUCUCUCUAAGGAACUCGGCAAACUGGCCCCGUAACUUCGGAAGAAGGGGUGCCCCUGCGAAGGGGUCGCAGUGACCAGGCUCUGGCGGCUGUUUACCAAAAACACAGGUAUCCGCAAAGUCGUAAGACAAUAUAUGGGUGCCGACACCUGCCCAGUGCCGGAAGGUGAAGGAAGUUGGUUAGGGGUUUCCUGAAGCUAACGACCGAAGCCCCGGUGAACGGCGGUUGUAACUAUGACAAUCCUAAGGUAGCGAAAUUCCUUGCCAGGUAAGUUCUGGCCUGCACGAAAGGUGUAACGAUCUGAGCGCUGUCUCGGAGAGAGACUCGGUGAAAUAGACUUGUCCGUGAAGAUGCGGACUACCUACACCAGGACAGAAAGACCCUAUGAAGCUUGACUGUAUCCUGGAAUGGGGUUCGGGCUCUUCUUGCGCAGCCUAGGUGGGAGGCGAUGAGGGCUUCCUUUCGGGGAAGUCGUAGCCAUCAUUGAGAGACCACUCUGGGAGAGCUAGAAUCCUAAUGGCGAUCCUUGAACCAGGACGCUUGAAAGUUUCAGGUGGGCAGUUUUUCUGGGGCGGAAAUCUCCCAAAAGGUAACGGAGAUGUGCAAAGGUUCCCUCAGUCUGGACGGAAAUCAGACAAUGAGUGCAAAGGCAUAAGGGAGCUUGACUGCAAGACCUACAAGUCGAGCAGGCUGGAAACAGGGCCUUAGUGAUCCGACGGUUCCGUGUGGAAGGGCCGUCGCUCAACGGAUAAAAGUUACUCUAGGGAUAACAGGCUGAUCUUCCCCAAGAGUUCACAUCGACGGGAAGGUUUGGCACCUCGAUGUCGGCUCAUCGCAGCUCAGGGCGGUAGUACGUCCUAAGAGUAAGACUGUUCGUCUUUUAAAGCGGUACGUGAGCUGGGUUCAGAACGUCGUAAGACAGUUCGGUCCAUAUCCGGUGUAGGCGCUAGAGUAUUGAGAGGAUCCUUCUAUAGUACGAGAGGACCUAUGAAGGACGCACCUAUGGUAUACCAGUUCUCGGUCCCCCGGGAAACGCUGGGUAGCUACGUGCGGAGUGGAUAACUGCUGAUAGCGUCUAAGUAGGAAGCCCACCUCAAGAUGAGUACUCUUCCGAGUAGAUAGUUUAUCGAAAGGUAUGAGGUCACGGCGAGACAAGCCGAUAAUAGGUGUUAGGUGAAAGACCAGCAAUGGUUUAAGCCGAGACAUACUAACGACCCAAUCAUUUGGAU
rnacentral:rRNA from 1 species